rnacentral:rRNA from 1 species
UGUGAGCGUACCCGGAGAAAAAGCAUCGGCUAACUCCGUGCCAGCGGCCGCGGUAAUACGGAGGAUGCGAGCGUUAUCCGGAUUUAUUGGGUUUAAAGGGUGCGUAGGCGGCGAGUUAAGUCAGCGGUAAAAGCCCGGGGCUCAACCCCGGCCCGCCGUUGAAACUGGCUGGCUUGAGUUGGGGAAAGGCAGGCGGAAUGCGCGGUGUAGCGGUGAAAUGCWUAGAUAUCGCGCAGAACCCCGAUUGCGAAGGCAGCCUGCCGGCUCCNCACUGACGCUGANGCACGAAAGCGUGGGUAUCGAACA